CCAGCCGGUACAAGACGAAUCUCAUUCCAUUUCAUUAAAGAAAAGUACUCACUGCCCACUGCGUGCCUUAUCUCAUCGCCACUCAUCUCCUUCUUUUAUCCAGAUCGCCAAUUCCUCCGCUCAUCCUAAUCCAGCGCUGGUCCUCUUCCUCUUCUCCAUCCAAUCUAGCCAGGAGCCGCACGUCCGCGGGCCGUGGUGGCUGGCCAGCGCAGCACUCCCUAAUCGGCGAUGAACCCAGAGGACGCCAUGGCUGGCGCCUUGGAGCUCCUUUGCCUCGUCCUGAUCUGGCCGUCUGCCCCAGUCGUCGGCCCCGUGCUCCGGAUCAGGCCAGCAACCUCACCUACGACCUGAUUUGGACCUCCUAGCCUUCGCCACCUGCGCCAUGCCCCAGAGGUUCGGCCGGUCCCGCGUCGCUCAUUCUCGCUUCUUCCUCUGCUCGUGGCUCGCGUUGACUGCUAAAGGCCACAUGCCUCGUCCAACCACAUCCUCUCACUGCCUUGCUCCUCCACCACCAGUGGCGAAGCCAGCUAUCUGGCGAGGUUUGGCGCAUGCCAUACCUAAACUACGACCCAAACCGUGAUCUGCGUGACGGAGGCACAACAGGCAGGGCAGUACACCGGGGCGGUGGCGCCAGUGGCAGGUGGCGGCAGUUCACCGGCGAGGCGAGGCGAGGCUCUGACCGGUAUAUGGCAACGCCGACUCGGCGAGGCCGCGAGGGUGAGCAGACGGCGCCACGUUAACUGAAAUUGUUAUUUGUUUGCGAAUAUGUUAACUGAAAUUGGACUAUAUCAGAUCAAAUAUUUCUCCGGUUUUAGUUUAUCUAGUGCCUUCCCUUUGUUGAAAUACUAAUAGAUUAAUUUCCUUUAUUAAAUUGGUGAACAUUCAUCCAUAUAAUUUAAAUCUAGUGAUGUAUUUUGAGUGUCAGUACUCAUUUUUUAGAUUUGUCUUGUAUAUUUGCUAAAUAUAAAGUAGUACCUCUGUCUCAAAUUACUUGUCUUAACUUUUUCUAGAUAUGGAUGUAUCUAAUACUAAAACAUGUCCAAAAACAUCUAUAUCUUAGGCAUACCUACGACUAGUAACUUGAGGCAGAGUAAAUAUACAUCUAAUAUUCUAGCGAGCCUUUAUAAUCAUAUUAUACAUGGUUUUCUUUUUUACAAACUCCGCCACACCUGAAAAUUAUUCCUGUCUUCGCCACUGUCCACCACCACACCUCUCCUUUCUUCCUCCCCUCCCUGCCAGCCGGGCACUCUCCCUCUCCCGCCUCCGUUCGCCGCAGGUGAGUGCGCGGCUGCGGGUGUCUGGCCAACAGCAACAACUGCGGCAGUUCGGCGCCCGGAGAAGCCGCGCGUUGGGCGAUGUGGAGGAGGACGACCUGCCGCUUCCUCAUUCGGGCGUCCUCCUCUGCGCCGUCGAGAGACGUCCAUGGCCGCCCGAUGCCCGAGCGCCGCCGGCCAAGGACGCGCCGGCGUCCAGACCCCCUCCACGCCAUCCCCAUCUCGUUGGAGACCUACACCAAGUCCCAUCCAGCGCCCGCACCACCCUUCGGGCCCGCCCCGCAGCUCUGCAGCCCGAGCGCUUCGGCCGCCUCGCACCCGAAGCAGAGGAGAGGAGCUCCCUGCCACGAGCCUCUCCAGCCCGGACAAACCAGCAGGCCGACCCCGCCUCCUUCUCACUUCCCUCCCCCUUCCUUUUUUUCCGCCGGGACGCAUCAUCCCUUCCUUCGCUUCUGCGGCGUGGAAGCCGACAGCAAGCUGCAGCCUGUGCCAGGCGAUGGAGAAGGCAAAUGGAGAAGCGGUGGUGGUGCCCGGCGGCGAAGCAGUUUAAUUAAGGACCGGGGUAGAAUUGUAACUAAUGCAGGGGUGUUUAUGUAAAACGAAGCGUUAUCUCACGUACCCACUUAAAAUAGGACUGCGGAUUGAAUUCUCAAAAACCAAGGGACUUUCCUGCAAAAUCGCUAGCAAAGACUAGCAAAAGGCUCGUGCGUUGCAACGGGUAUAAAAUAAAUUUGAUAAUCCAGGUGUUUGAGAGUUUACCUGCUUCUCGCUGCCUUGUGCGGCUGACGGCUAGGCAGAACUCUGGAACUUUGACCUGAGAAGACUCUUUGAUGUAUAUGAUUUAUCUAUCUAUAUCAAAAUAGUUAAUAAAAACAUUUGUAAUUGAAAGAAUGACA